GACGAACGCUGGCGGCGUGCCUAAUACAUGCAAGUCGAACGAACCGCGACUAAGUGCUUGCACUAAGUCAAGGUGAGUGGCGAACGGGUGAGUAACACGUGGGUAACCUACCUCAUAGUGGGGGAUAACAGUCGGAAACGACUGCUAAUACCGCAUAGGACAUAGGAUCACAUGAUCCAGUGAGGAAAGGUGGCGCAAGCUAUCGCUAAGAGAUGGACCCGCGGUGCAUUAGCUAGUUGGUAGGGUAAAGGCCUACCAAGGCGAUGAUGCAUAGCCGACCUGAGAGGGUGAUCGGCCACAUUGGGACUGAGACACGGCCCAAACUCCUACGGGAGGCAGCAGUAGGGAAUCUUCCGCAAUGGACGCAAGUCUGACGGAGCAACGCCGCGUGAGUGAAGAAGGUCUUCGGAUCGUAAAACUCUGUUGUUAGAGAAGAACAGCGCAUAGAGUAACUGCUAUGCGUGUGACGGUAUCUAACCAGAAAGCCACGGCUAACUACGUG
rnacentral:rRNA from 1 species